ACUCACUUCAAGUAAAAUGACUGAAUGGUAUCCACAAUGACGGGGAAUUAAACAGCCACAUGAAAGAUGAAUUCAUUUCUCUGUUAUGGAAGGAGAUUAUAUACAAUGUGUAAGAGAGGCCAGAGAGAAGAGACAGUACUUACUGGGAGGCCUUGGUGUUGCUUCAGGAGUUCUUACCUGUUCCGAAGAGCUGGCAGGCAGAGCCACUGCUGAUCUUUCUCUGCUACAACAGAGCCACCCUUACUGCUUACUGACCAGGAGCUCCACAUCAGGGUUCUGGAGCAAUCUGCAGGGCACUGAUUACUCAACAGAGAAGCCAGUUUCUCACCAGACAGUGAGAGAUAACGCGGAAGGGAUAUUCUGAGGCAGCAAGGAUAAGAGGAGAAUCCACCUACAUGUGAAGUUGUUGAAUGUUUUGAUUUUCUGCUAUUCCUCCACCUCUUCCCUUCAGUAAGCAACCAGAACAGCUUUGCAUCCUGCUUAUCCCUUGAUAAUUCAGCAUUCAGUGGACUAAUAAUAUGGAUAUUGAGGAAGCCUGGAACAGAAAGUCUGCUUGCUGACAAAGCAUAAGUAAGCUUUAGCUGGUACUUACAGACAGAUGUAUAUAGCAGCUGGAUCUGAAAGAAGAUUUGGAGUGCUCAGCACUUGUUUGAGG
rnacentral:lncRNA from 1 species